CGGAGGGUGCAAGCGUUGUCCGGAUUUAUUGGGUUUAAAGGGUGCGUAGGCGGUUGAUUAAGUCAGCGGUGAAAGUUUGGGCUCAACCCAGAAAUUGCCAUUGAUACUGGUCGACUUGAGUAUUGCAGGGGUACAUGGAAUUGAUGGUGUAGCGGUGAAAUGCAUAGAUACCAUCAGGAACACCGAUAGCGAAGGCAUUGUACUGGGCAACACUGACGCUGAUGCACGAAGCAUGGGAGCGAACAGGAUU
rnacentral:rRNA from 1 species